rnacentral:rRNA from 1 species
UGCGUAACGCGUAUGCAACCUACCUCUUACUGGGGAAUAGCCCGAAGAAAUUCAGAUUAAUGCCCCAUAUGCUCGUACGGCCUCAUGGUCGAGCGAGGAAAGCUCCGGCGGUAAGAGAUGGGCAUGCGUCCUAUUAGCUUGUUGGUGAGGUAAUGGCUCACCAAGGCUACGAUAGGUAGGGGGCCUGAGAGGGUGACCCCCCACACUGGUACUGAGACACGGACCAGACUCC